rnacentral:rRNA from 1 species
UACGUAGGGUGCGAGCGUGUCCGGAAUUAUUGGGCGUAAAGAGCUCGUAGGCGGUUUGUCACGUCUGCUGUGAAAUCCCGAGGCUCAACCUCGGGCCUGCAGUGGGUACGGGCAGACUGGAGUGCGGUAGGGGAGAAUGGAAUUCCUGGUGUAGCGGUGGAAUGCGCAGAUAUCAGGAGGAACACCGGUGGCGAAGGCGGGUCUCUGGGCCGAUACUGACGUGAGGAGCGAAAGCGUGGGGGAGCAAACAGG